CAGUCGCCGCGGUAAUACAGAGGGUGCGAGCGUUAAUCGGAUUUACUGGGCGUAAAGCGUGCGUAGGCGGCUUCUUAAGUCGGAUGUGAAAUCCCUGAGCUUAACUUAGGAAUUGCAUUCGAUACUGGGAAGCUAGAGUAUGGGAGAGGAUGGUAGAAUUCCAGGUGUAGCGGUGAAAUGCGUAGAGAUCUGGAGGAAUACCGAUGGCGAAGGCAGCCAUCUGGCCUAAUACUGACGCUGAGGUACGAAAGCAUGGUGAGCAAACAGGAUUAGAUACCCCUGUAGUCCCUGUCUCUUAUAC
rnacentral:rRNA from 1 species